rnacentral:lncRNA from 1 species
AUCAAUAUGUCUGCAUUAAAUUGCAAUGUUUGAUUAAUUGUGUUGUGAUAAUGCUAUGCUUUGUUUGUGUGGAGUUGGGAUGAAGUGGGUCACCAUGGGUUUGUGAGACCGUUACCGUUAUAUGGAUCCAUUACUAUUAGCCGGGUAAAUGGGAGAUCAGCGCCCCCAUGUGCACCUACCGUUACCGUUACCGUUACCGUUACCGUUAACCACAGGUUGGCUUCUCGUCGUUGCGCACCGGACAGUCUAGAUUUGAUCGCAGCCCGCAGGGUGGCCUCCUGUUGUGAGCGCUUGAUGAUCUAGAUUGGAUGGAGACCACCGGGUUGCCUCCUGUUGGUAUUAAAAAGAAAAGAGAGGAUAGAAAAACAAUGAGAGGGCUGGUCAAGUGAGGN